GACGAACGCUGGCGGCGUGCUUAACACAUGCAAGUCGAGCGGAGCGGCGAACGGGUGAGUAACGCGUGAGUAACUGCCCCCCUCUCUGGGAUAACAGUUGGAAACGGCUGCUAAUACCGGAUAGUGGGGGAUGACUCGCGUCCUAUCAGCUUGUUGGUGGGGUAGUGGCCUACCAAGGCGACGACGGGUAGCCGGCCUGAGAGGGCGACCGGCCACAUGGGGCUGAGAUACGGACCAAAAUAGUACGGGAGGCGGCAGUGGGGAAUAUUGCACAAGGGGGGAAACCAUGAUGCAGCAAGGCGCGUGCGGGAUGACGGACUUCGGGUUGUAGACCGCUUUCAGCAAUGACGCGGUAGUGGCAGAAGAAGCACAGGCUAACUACGUGCCAGCAGCCGCGGAAUUC
rnacentral:rRNA from 1 species